rnacentral:rRNA from 1 species
UACGGGGGGGGCAAGCGUUGUUCGGAAUUACUGGGCGUAAAGGGCUCGUAGGCGGCCAACUAAGUCAGACGUGAAAUCCCUCGGCUCAACCCAGGAACUGCAUUUGAAACUGCUGGCCUUGAGUGGUGGAGAGGGAAGCGGAAUUCCUGGUGUAGAGGUGAAAUUCGUAGAUAUCAGGAGGAACACCGGUGGCGAAGGCGACUUCCUGGACACCAACUGACGCUGAGACGCGAAAGCGUGGGGAGCAAACAGG